rnacentral:rRNA from 1 species
AUUGAACGCUGGCGGAAUGCUUUACACAUGCAAGUCGAACGGUAGAGGGGGCAACCCCUCGAGAGUGGCGAACGGGUGAGUAAUAUAUCGGAACGUGCCCAGUCGUGGGGGAUAACGUAGCGAAAGUUACGCUAAUACAGCAUACGAUCUAAGGAUGAAAGUGGGGGAUCGCAAGACCUCGCGCGAUUGGAGCGGCCGAUAUCAGAUUAGGUAGUUGGUGGGGUAAAGGCUCACCAAGCCAACGAUCUGUAGCUGGUCUGAGAGGACGACCAGCCACAUUGGAACUGAGACACGGUCCAGACUCCUACGGGAGGCAGCAGUGGGGAAUUUUGGACAAUGGACGCAAGUCUGAUCCAGCCAUUCCGCGUGCAGGAUGAAGGCCCUCCGGUUGUAAACUGCUUUUGUACGGAACGAAAAGGUCUCUCUUAAUACGGGGGGCUCAUGACGGUACCGUAAGAAUAAGCACCGGCUAACUACGUGCCAGCCGCCGCGGUAA